AUGCACUAACUAAAGAGGAUCUUUUAUUCUGAGACUAAACAAAAGUUUUGUUCACUGAGCAAACAGAACAAGAGGAAUAGGAAGAUGCUUUACUGACUCAUCAGCUCCAGUUCAUCCAAGAACAAGAGAGGAAUUCCCUGCUUCAUCAAGUCCAAGGGAGCUCAAGACUGUGAUCCACCAGCAGUGCCUUUAUAAAACACUGUGCAGAAUAAUUAUUAUAUCUGUUAUUGCCCUGCAAGGUGCAAUUUGACCAUGCAAUAAUAAGAAAACAUAUUUCCAGGAAUUCCUCUUACAGCUGUACAUGUUCUACAUAACCUUAGAUGACUCUGGGAAAGAGAUUAAAAGUAAGAAAACAGAAACAUUUUGCAUGAGUGUCUUCACAUGGCUCUGAAAUUUCCAAGCAUUUUAUCCAGGUACCUUGAAAGCAAUAAAUACCUACUUGAGGGACAGGUGAGGGGAACUUGGCCUUUAGUUUAUUGAGGAUCUCACUGAUGGCGGGUCACAAGUUUCCCCCUGGAUUUGAACUUUAAAUGGGAGUCUAAGCUCACAAAGCAUCAGGAGCAAUAUUGCAGCAGCACUGCUGCUUCCUGAUGUCUGGAUGCAGCGUCCUGCAGACACUCCCCACCCACUCAGCCUGCCUGCACCUGGUAUUUGGCCCUGAGAGAAGAAGAGGCUGCUCUUUUGAACAGAUAUUUCCAUGUCUGGCUGGGGACUGAGACAGGUUCUUUUUUCAUCUUGUUUUUCGCCGAGAUGCGCGAGGAACAGGGUGUGAUUCUGGAGCUGUCAUUUUGCCUUGAAAUGUGUCUCAAGCAGCAGAAAACGUGGAAGCAGCAGCUUCCCAUUCAUCAUUUGCUACCCAGUCUGAAUCCUUGCUGGCAGCCUCAUGAUCUACAGGGAUUGCUACGGAAAUGGAAACCUCUGAUGAUACCAAAAGCUCUUUGUGGGUGUGAGAGACACCUGGGCCCUCACUGGAGUUCUUUGGAAAGGUUUUUAACAUGACAGUGCUGGCAAAGCCCCUUUGAUAUGUCCGUGUUUCACUGACUCUGAGACCUUUUGAGAAUUACUUGUAAAGUGUUUUAAGUACCACAAACCAGCAAACUUUCAGACAUCUGGAAGGCUGCAGUUCUGCUGCUCACACUUUCCACUGGGAUAACCUAGCCCAGGGAAAUCUGCCUCGAGGACUGAUUUGCAAAGAAAAUAAAUAUAAGGCUUC